ACGGAAGGCAGCAGUGGGGAAUAUUGCACAAUGGGGGAAACCCUGAUGUAGCGACGCCGCGUGAGUGAUGAAGUAUUUCGGUAUGUAAAGCUCUAUCAGCAGGGAAGAUAAUGACGGUACCUGACUAAGAAGCACCGGCUAAAUACGUGCCAGCAGCCGCGGUAAUACGUAUGGUGCAAGCGUUAUCCGGAUUUACUGGGUGUAAAGGGAGCGUAGGCGGUACGGCAAGUCUGAAGUGAAAUCCCAGGGCUCAACCUUGGAACUGCUUUGGAAACUGUCGAACUAGAGUGUCGGAGAGGUAAGUGGAAUUUCUAGUGUAGCGGUGAAAUGCGUAGAUAUUAGGAGGAACACCAGUGGCGAAGGCGGCUUACUGGACGAUUACUGACGCUGAGGCUCGAAAGCGUGGGGAGCAAACAGGAUUAGAUACCCUGGUA
rnacentral:rRNA from 1 species